rnacentral:rRNA from 1 species
CAGUACCGUGAGGGAAAGGCGAAAAGAACCCCGGCGAGGGGAGUGAAACAGAACCUGAAACCGUGUACGUACAAGCAGUGGGAGCCUCUCUUUAUGGGGGGUGACUGCGUACCUUUUGUAUAAUGGGUCAGCGACUUAUAUUCUGUAGCAAGGUUAACCGCAUAGGGGAGCCGAAGGGAAACCGAGUCUUAAUUGGGCGUUAAGUUGCAGGGUAUAGACCCGAAACCCGGUGAUCUAGCCAUGGGCAGGUUGAAGGUUGGGUAACACUAACUGGAGGACCGAACCGACUAAUGUUGAAAAAUUAGCGGAUGACCUGUGGCUGGGGGUGAAAGGCCAAUCAAACCGGGAGAUAGCUGGUUCUCCCCGAAAGCUAUUUAGGUAGCGCCUCGUGAACUCAUCUCCGGGGGUAGAGCACUGUUUCGGCUAGGGGGCCAUCCCGGCUUACCAACCCGAUGCAAACUGCGAAUACCGGAGAAUGUUAUCACGGGAGACACACGGCGGGUGCUAACGUCCGUCGUGAAGAGGGAAACAACCCAGACCGCCAGCUAAGGUCCCAAAGUCAUGGUUAAGUGGGAAACGAUGUGGGAAGGCCCAGACAGCCAGGAUGUUGGCUUAGAAGCAGCCAUCAUUUAAAGAAAGCGUAAUAGCUCACUGGUCGAGUCGGCCUGCGCGGAAGAUGUAACGGGGCUAAACCAUGCACCGAAGCUGCGGCAGCGACACUUUAGUGUUGUUGGGUAGGGGAGCGUUCUGUAAGCCGUUGAAGGUGUCCUGUGAGGGGUGCUGGAGGUAUCAGAAGUGCGAAUGCUGACAUAAGUAACGAUAAAGCGGGUGAAAAGCCCGCUCGCCGGAAGACCAAGGGUUCCUGUCCAACGUUAAUCGGGGCAGGGUGAGUCGACCCCUAAGGCGAGGCCGAAAGGCGUAGUCGAUGGGAAACGGGUUAAUAUUCCCGUACUUGGUGUUACUGCGAAGGGGGGACGGAGAAGGCUAUGUUGGCCGGGCGACGGUAGUCCCGGUUUAAGCGUGUAGGUGUGUGUUCCAGGCAAAUCCGGAAAAUCAAGGCUGAGGCGUGAUGACGAGGCACCACGGUGCUGAAGCAACAAAUGCCCUGCUUCCAGGAAAAGCCUCUAAGCAUCAGGUAACAUCAAAUCGUACCCCAAACCGACACAGGUGGUCAGGUAGAGAAUACCAAGGCGCUUGAGAGAACUCGGGUGAAGGAACUAGGCAAAAUGGUGCCGUAACUUCGGGAGAAGGCACGCUGACACGUAGGUGAAGUGAUUUACUCACGGAGCUGAAGUCAGUCGAAGAUACCAGCUGGCUGCAACUGUUUAUUAAAAACACAGCACUGUGCAAACACGAAAGUGGACGUAUACGGUGUGACGCCUGCCCGGUGCCGGAAGGUUAAUUGAUGGGGUCAGCGCAAGCGAAGCUCCUGAUCGAAGCCCCGGUAAACGGCGGCCGUAACUAUAACGGUCCUAAGGUAGCGAAAUUCCUUGUCGGGUAAGUUCCGACCUGCACGAAUGGCGUAAUGAUGGCCAGGCUGUCUCCACCCGAGACUCAGUGAAAUUGAACUCGCUGUGAAGAUGCAGUGUACCCGCGGCAAGACGGAAAGACCCCGUGAACCUUUACUAUAGCUUGACACUGAACAUUGAGCCUUGAUGUGUAGGAUAGGUGGGAGGCUUUGAAGCGUGGACGCCAGUCUGCGUGGAGCCGACCUUGAAAUACCACCCUUUAAUGUUUGAUGUUCUAACGUGGACCCGUAAUCCGGGUUGCGGACAGUGUCUGGUGGGUAGUUUGACUGGGGCGGUCUCCUCCUAAAGAGUAACGGAGGAGCACGAAGGUUGGCUAAUCCUGGUCGGACAUCAGGAGGUUAGUGCAAUGGCAUAAGCCAGCUUGACUGCGAGCGUGACGGCGCGAGCAGGUGCGAAAGCAGGUCAUAGUGAUCCGGUGGUUCUGAAUGGAAGGGCCAUCGCUCAACGGAUAAAAGGUACUCCGGGGAUAACAGGCUGAUACCGCCCAAGAGUUCAUAUCGACGGCGGUGUUUGGCACCUCGAUGUCGGCUCAUCACAUCCUGGGGCUGAAGUAGGUCCCAAGGGUAUGGCUGUUCGCCAUUUAAAGUGGUACGCGAGCUGGGUUUAGAACGUCGUGAGACAGUUCGGUCCCUAUCUGCCGUGGGCGCUGGAAGAUUGAGGGGGGCUGCUCCUAGUACGAGAGGACCGGAGUGGACGCAUCACUGGUGUUCGGGUUGUCAUGCCAAUGGCACUGCCCGGUAGCUAAAUGCGGAAAAGAUAAGUGCUGAAAGCAUCUAAGCACGAAACUUGCCCCGAGAUGAGUUCUCCCUGAGACUUUGA